rnacentral:rRNA from 1 species
GAAAGGCGGGCUAAACCCGCGUACAUGCCACCGGGGCAUCCCGGAGGCAGGAAAGGCUUCGGCCGGACAGGGAUGGGCAUGCGGCGCAUUAGGCAGUAGGCGGGGUAACGGCCCACCUAACCGACGAUGCGUAGGGGUUCUGAGAGGAAGGUCCCCCACACUGGUACUGAGACACGGACCAGACUCCUACGGGAGGCAGCAGUGAGGAAUAUUGGUCAAUGGUCGGGAGACUGAACCAGCCAAGCCGCGUGAGGGAGGAAGGUACAGAGUAUCGUAAACCUCUUUUGUCAGGGAACAAAGGCGGGGACGUGUCCCCGGAUGAGUGUACCUGAAGAAAAAGCAUCGGCUAACUCCGUGCCAGCAGCCGCGGUAAUACGGAGGAUGCGAGCGUUAUCCGGAUUUAUUGGGUUUAAAGGGUGCGCAGGCGGUCUGUUAAGUCAGCGGUCAAAGCCCGGGGCUCAACCCCGGCCCGCCGUUGAAACUGGCAGUCUCGAGUUGGAGAGAAGUAUGCGGAAUGCGCGGUGUAGCGGUGAAAUGCAUAGAUAUCGCGCAGAACUCCGAUUGCGAAGGCAGCAUGCCGGCUCCACACUGACGCUGAGGCACGAAAGCGUGGGUAUCGAACAGGAUUAGAUACCCUGGUAGUCC